rnacentral:rRNA from 1 species
ACGCUGGCGGCGUGCUUAACACAUGCAAGUCGAACGGAAAGGCCCUGCUUUUGUGGGGUGCUCGAGUGGCGAACGGGUGAGUAACACGUGAGUAACCUGCCCUUGACUUUGGGAUAACUUCAGGAAACUGGGGCUAAUACCGGAUAGGAGCUCCUGCUGCAUGGUGGGGGUUGGAAAGUUUCGGCGGUUGGGGAUGGACUCGCGGCUUAUCAGCUUGUUGGUGGGGUAGUGGCUUACCAAGGCUUUGACGGGUAGCCGGCCUGAGAGGGUGACCGGCCACAUUGGGACUGAGAUACGGCCCAGACUCCUACGGGAGGCAGCAGUGGGGAAUAUUGCACAAUGGGCGGAAGCCUGAUGCAGCAACGCCGCGUGCGGGAUGACGGCCUUCGGGUUGUAAACCGCUUUCGCCUGUGACGAAGCGUGAGUGACGGUAAUGGGUAAAGAAGCACCGGCUAACUACGUGCCAGCAGCCGCGGUGAUACGUAGGGUGCGAGCGUUGUCCGGAUUUAUUGGGCGUAAAGGGCUCGUAGGUGGUUGAUCGCGUCGGAAGUGUAAUCUUGGGGCUUAGCCCUGAGCGUGCUUUCGAUACGGGUUGACUUGAGGAAGGUAGGGGAGAAUGGAAUUCCUGGUGGAGCGGUGGAAUGCGCAGAUAUCAGGAGGAACACCAGUGGCGAAGGCGGUUCUCUGGGCCUUUCCUGACGCUGAGGAGCGAAAGCGUGGGGAGCGAACAGGCUUAGAUACCCUGGUAGUCCACGCUGUAAACGGUGGGUACUAGGUGUGGGGUCCAUUCCACGGGUUCCGUGCCGCAGCUAACGCUUUAAGUACCCCGCCUGGGGAGUACGGCCGCAAGGCUAAAACUCAAAGGAAUUGACGGGGCCCCGCACAAGCGGCGGAGCAUGCGGAUUAAUUCGAUGCAACGCGUAGAACCUUACCUGGGUUUGACAUGGAUCGGGAGUGCUCAGAGAUGGGUGUGCCUCUUUUGGGGUCGGUUCACAGGUGGUGCAUGGCUGUCGUCAGCUCGUGUCGUGAGAUGUUGGGUUAAGUCCCGCAACGAGCGCAACCCUUGUUCACUGUUGCCAGCACGUUAUGGUGGGGACUCAGUGGAGACCGCCGGGGUCAACUCGGAGGAAGGUGGGGAUGACGUCAAGUCAUCAUGCCCCUUAUGUCCAGGGCUUCACGCAUGCUUCAAUGGCUGGUACAGAGAGUGGCGAGCCUGCGAG